rnacentral:rRNA from 1 species
AUUGAACGCUGGCGGCAUGCUUUACACAUGCAAGUCGAACGGUAACAGGCCGCAAGGUGCUGACGAGUGGCGCACGGGUGCGUAAUGCAUCGGAACGUGCCCAGUCGUGGGGGAUAACUACUCGAAAGAGUAGCUAAUACCGCAUACGAUCUAUGGAUGAAAGCGGGGGACCGUAAGGCCUCGCGCGAUUGGAGCGGCCGAUGUCAGAUUAGGUAGUUGGUGGGGUAAAGGCUCACCAAGCCAACGAUCUGUAGCUGGUCUGAGAGGACGACCAGCCACACUGGGACUGAGACACGGCCCAGACUCCUACGGGAGGCAGCAGUGGGGAAUUUUGGACAAUGGGCGCAAGCCUGAUCCAGCAAUGCCGCGUGCAGGAAGAAGGCCUUCGGGUUGUAAACUGCUUUUGUACGGAACGAAACGGCUCUGGUUAAUACCCGGGGCUAAUGACGGCACCGUAAGAAUAAGCACCGGCUAACUACGUG